rnacentral:rRNA from 1 species
UACGAAGGGUGCAAGCGUUACUCGGAAUUACUGGGCGUAAAGGGUGCGUAGGUGGUUUGUUAAGUCUGCUGUGAAAUCCCCGGGCUCAACCUGGGAAUGGCAGUGGAUACUGGCAAGCUAGAGUGCGGUAGAGGGUAGUGGAAUUCCCGGUGUAGCAGUGAAAUGCGUAGAGAUCAUGAGGAAGACCAGUGGCGAAGGCGGGUCUCUGGACAGUUCCUGACACUGAGGCACGAAGGCCAGGGGAGCAAACGGG